GCCUGGGUGGCUCAGUUGGUUAAGCAUCCGACUUCAGCUCGGGUCAUGAUCUCAUCAUUCGUGGGUUUGAGCCCCGUGUCAGGCU
rfam:Felis catus isolate Cinnamon breed Abyssinian chromosome C1, whole genome shotgun sequence.